rnacentral:rRNA from 1 species
UACGAAGGGGGCUAGCGUUGUUCGGAAUUACUGGGCGUAAAGGGCGCGUAGGCGGCUGUGCAAGUCAGGGGUGAAAGCCCUGGGAUCAACCCAGGAUGUGCACUUGAUACUGCGCGGCUAGAGUGUCGGAGAGGAUGGUGGAAUUCCCAGUGUAGAGGUGAAAUUCGUAGAUAUUGGGAAGAACACCGGUGGCGAAGGCGACCAUCUGGACGACAACUGACGCUGAGGCGCGAAAGCGUGGGGAGCAAACAGG